GGGCCUGUGGCGCAAUUUGGAUAACGCGUCUGCCUAACGAGCAGAAGAUUCUAGGUUCAAGUCCUAGCAGGCUCG